rnacentral:rRNA from 1 species
AACGAACGCUGGCGGCAUGCCUAACACAUGCAAGUCGAACGAAGGCUUCGGCCUUAGUGGCGCACGGGUGCGUAACGCGUGGGAAUCUGCCCUUUGGUUCGGAAUAACAGCUGGAAACGGCUGCUAAUACCGGAUGAUGACGAAAGUCCAAAGAUUUAUCGCCAGAGGAUGAGCCCGCGUUGGAUUAGGUAGUUGGUGGGGUAAAGGCCUACCAAGCCGACGAUCCAUAGCUGGUCUGAGAGGAUGAUCAGCCACACCGGGACUGAGACACGGCCCAGACUCCUACGGGAGGCAGCAGUGGGGAAUAUUGGACAAUGGGCGCAAGCCUGAUCCAGCAAUGCCGCGUGAGUGAUGAAGGCCCUAGGGUUGUAAAGCUCUUUUACCCGGGAAGAUAAUGACUGUACCGGGAGAAUAAGCCCCGGCUAACUCCGUG